rnacentral:rRNA from 1 species
AGCGAACGCUGGCGGCAUGCCUAACACAUGCAAGUCGCACGGUCGGGGGGUGACCUUCGGCAGUGGCGGACGGGUGAGUAACGCGUAGGGAUCUAUCCUUGGAUGGGGGACAACCGCGGGAAACCGCGGCUAAUACCGCAUGAUGCCUGAGGGCCAAAGCUCGCGAGAGCGUCUGGGGAGGAGCCUGCGUCCGAUUAGCUAGUUGGUGGGGUAACGGCCCACCAAGGCGUCGANCGGUAGCUGGUCUGAGAGGAUGAUCAGCCACACUGGGACUGAGACACGGCCCAGACUCCUACGGGAGGCAGCAGUGGGGAAUAUUGGACAAUGGGCGCAAGCCUGAUCCAGCAAUGCCGCGUGGGUGAAGAAGGUCUU